GUGGGGUAUAUAGGAAUAGAGAAAAAUAUUCUCACAAAUACUGAAACAACAAAAGGGGUUUGGUAUAAUUUACCAUAAAAAUAUGUGGAUAAAAAUCAAUAAUUGUUGAUAAGUUUUAUAUCAUAUAUACAUGUACGUUCUCACCAUCCUUUUUUGUUUGUUUUUGAAGUUAUCUUAAAAUAUUUAAAGAAAGACUUAGCAAGGAUACUUCUUAGGUCUAGUUGCUUAAUGCCGUUUUGGAGAGACUGUAGGCAUUCUAAAAAUGUUUUAUUAGUAAAAAAAAUAGGCAAAACUACGAGAUUUGUUACUUAAUUUCUAAAUAUUUCAUAGAAAAUGACAGUUUAAAAUUGAUUUUUCAUUGUGUGUAACGCAAAGUUAACCCCGAUUCACCCUAUCAAACAAAGCUAUUGUUAUGAAGCAUCACUAAACUAACUUAUAUCGUGAAUUUCGUAAACCUAUAGGCACCUUUCAUUUGCUAGAUCUGGACCUGUGUCAAUUUUUGGUAAGCCUUUCCCCUAUCUCUUUUCUGACGGCCCAGAUACCAAAGAUUUAUCUCGUGUAGUGGCGAAUCACACUGUUACUGCAGCUGCGCAGUUAUACAGCUGUUCUAAGUGAUUAAAAAGGCAUUGUUCUGUUCUUGUAAGCGUAAUUUGCGUACAAAAUAACAUGUAGAACCCUAUAUUCAUUGCUUUUUCAUUAUUAGACAACAGUUUUGGGCAGGAACAAGCCAAUUCAAUUUUUUUUUACAUUUUUAUUCUCCAUUGUACAAGGUGGCCGCACCUCCCUUAAAGCAUUGUGUAUCUCUAUGUUAUAAUGAAAAAGGACAUCUUGGUUUUGGAUAUUCCUCAAAAAGAUAGCUUUGGUUGUCACCACUAAGAUUUGUAUCAAUGGUUCGAUUGUCGUGCCGUUUUCUUAGACUGUUUUGAUCUCCUUUAAAAGAAGACCUCUAUAUAAAAUUAAAGAAAAAAAAUAUCCAUAUUGUGAAUAUUUGGAUUUAUUCUUUUCUAAAUUAUUGUUUUUAGCUAAAUAAAUCAUAUUUUAUAAUUUUAUAGGGAGACAUAAUGCAUUGGUUAAUUUGUUGACAAUCUUGCAUCUUUAAGUGUUUGUUAUCAACAUGAUGAUUUUACAUGAUAUAUUUUUAUGUAGCGAUUGAAUUCCAUGCGAUGCCAUACCGACUUCAUGUUUGACAAUGUAAACCAAUAUGUUAUUCUUUUAAAAAAUAAAAAACCGAAUUUGU
rnacentral:sRNA from 1 species